UACGUAGGGUGCGAGCGUUAAUCGGAAUUACUGGGCGUAAAGCGUGCGCAGGCGGUCUGUUAAGACCGAUGUGAAAUCCCCGGACUUAACCUGGGAACUGCAUUAGUGACUGACAAACUUUGAGUGUGGCAGAGGGAGGUAGAAUUCCACGUGUAGCAGUGAAAUGCGUAGAGAUGUGGAGGAAUACCGAUGGCGAAGGCAGCCUCCUGGGCCAACACUGACGCUCAUGCACGAAAGCGUGGGGAGCAAACAGG
rnacentral:rRNA from 1 species